rnacentral:rRNA from 1 species
UACGUAGGGGCCGAGCGUUGUCCGGAGUUACUGGGCGUAAAGCGCGCGCAGGCGGCGCAUCGCGCCCGGCGUGAAAGCCCCCGGCUCAACCGGGGAGGGUCGUCGGGGACGGGUGCGCUUGAGGACGGCAGGGGCAGGUGGAAUUCCCUGGUGUAGCGGUGAAAUGCGCAGAUAUCGAGGAAGAACCAGCCCGUAGGCGGCAAG